GUCUAUGGCCACACCACCCUGAACAUCUCUGAUCUAGCAAGCUAAGCAGGGUCAGGCCUGGUUAGUACUUGGAUGCCAGUACUUGUGUGCCAGUUAGUGGCACACACU
rnacentral:rRNA from 1 species